CGGGUGCACUGAUCCAGCCGGGCCUUUCCCUCUGUGGAACCCCAUGGCCUUCACUGGCUGUGGUGGGGAAACAGGACUUUUACUUUGAAAAAAUUAGAGUGCUCCAGGCAGGCCUAUGCUCGAAUACAUUAGCAUGGAAUAAUAGAAUAGGACGUGUGGUUCUAUUUUGUUGGUUUCUAGGACCGCCGUAAUGAUUAAUAGGGACAGUCGGGGGCAUCAGUAUUCAAUUGUCAGAGGUGAAAUUCUUGGAUCUAUUGAAGACUAACUACUGCGAAAGCAUUUGCCAAGGAUGUUUUCAUUGAUAAGGAACGAAAGUUAGGGGAUCGAAGACGAUCAGAUACCGUCGUAGUCUUAACUAUAAACUAUGCCGACUAGGGAUCGGACGAUGUUAUUCUUUGACGCGUUCGGCACCCUUCGAGAAAUCAAAGUGCUUGGGCUCCAGGGGGGGUAUGGUCGCAAGGCUGAAACUUAAAGAAAUUGACGGAAGGGCACCACCAGGGGUGGAACCUGCGGCUUAAUUUGACUCAACACGGGGAAACUCACCAGGUCCAGACACAGUGAGGAUUGACAGAUUGAGAGCUCUUUCUUGAUUCUGUGGGUGGUGGUGCAUGGCCGUUCUUAGUUGGUGGAGUGAUUUGUCUGCUUAAUUGCGAUAACGAACGAGACCUUAACCUGCUAAAUAGCCCGUACUGCUUUGGCAGUUCGCCGGCUUCUUAGAGGGACUAUCGG
rnacentral:rRNA from 1 species